GACGAACGCUGGCGGCGUGCCUAAUACAUGCAAGUCGAACGCCGAAGGAGGAGCUUGCUUCUCUGGCUGAUUUGCGAACGGGUGAGUAACGCGUAGGUAACCUGCCUGGCAGUGUGGGAUAACUAUUGGAAACGAUAGCUAAUACCGCAUAAGAGUCGAUGUUGCAUUACAUUUGCUUAAAAGUUGCACUUUCAUCACUACCAGAUGCAGCUGCGUUGUAUUAGCUUGUUGGUGGGGUAACCGCUCCCCAACGCGACGACACAUCUCCGACCUGAGAGGGAGGUCCGCCACACUGGGACCGGGACAAGGGUCAGGAUUCCAAGGGAAGCAGCAAUAGGGGAUCAUCGGAAAUUGGCGGAAGGCUUGACGAGGAAAGCCCGGUGAGGGAAGGAAGGCUUCGGAUCGUAAAGGUCUGUUUGUAGAGAAAGAAGAGUAUGAGAGUAGAAAGUUCACGCUGUGACGGUACCUAAACAGAAAGAAACGGCUAACUACGUG
rnacentral:rRNA from 1 species